rnacentral:rRNA from 1 species
CUGAGUGUCGUAGCUAACGCGUUAAACAGGGCGCCUGGGGAUUACGGCCGCAAGGCUAAAACUCAAAGGAAUUGACGGGGACCCGCACAAGCAGUGGAGCGCCUGGUUUAAUUCGAUGAUCAGCGAAGAACCUCACCUGGGCUUGAACUAUAGCUGCAUCCCGGCAGAAACGCCGGGAGCCUUCGAGGGUGCUAUAGAGGUGCUGCAUGGCUGUCGUCAGCUCGUGUCGUGAGAUGUAGGGUUAAGUCCCACAACGAGCGCAACCCCUAUUCUGUAUUACAAUUAUUCAGAAGACUGCCUCGCCACAACGAGGAGGAAGGAGGGGACGACGUCCAGUCAUCAUAUCCCUUAUGUCCAGGGCUACACAGACGCUACAAUGGCUACUACAACGGGUUGCCAAGCCGCAAGGCGGAGCCAAUCCCAUCAAAAGUAGCCUCAGUUCAGAUUGCAGGCUGCAACUCGCCUGCAUGAAGCCGGAAUUGCUAGUAAUCGCGUAUCAGCACGGCGCGGUGAAUACGUUCUCGGGUCUUGUACACACCGCCCAUCAGGGCACGGGAGUUGCUCUUGCUCAAAGUCUCACUUUAUGUGGGCCAAAAGCUAAGGGCGGCGACUAGGCUUAAGUC